UACGUAGGGUGCGAGCGUUGUCCGGAAUUAUUGGGCGUAAAGGGCUCGUAGGCGGUUUGUCGCGUCGGGAGUGAAAUCCACUGGCUUAACUGGUGGCUUGCUUUCGAUACGGGCAGACUGGAGGUAUGCAGGGGGAGAACGGAAUUCCUGGUGUAGCGGUGAAAUGCGCAGAUAUCAGGAGGAACACCGAUGGCGAAGGCAGGUCUCUGGGCCACUACUGACGCUGAGAAGCGAAAGCAUGGGGAGCGAACAGG
rnacentral:rRNA from 1 species